GCGAUGUUUCUCACAUAAUGCUCUCAAUCUGAAGCAGCUAAAAUCCCUGCAUGAAGUCUUCAUGGAUGAAGAAAGACUUACACAUGACUUCUGUUUGUUGGUCUCUCAGUUUUCCUCAGGUAUGACAGAUGGCAGUGUCGUCAAUCAGACUUCUCUGCUGUGGGUCAACCAGAGUCAGUCCACCACCAUGACCUGCAGUCACAAUAAAGACGCUUCUUACUUCCAGAUGUACUGGUACCAGCAGCUGCCGGGUCAGAACAUGAAGCUAAUAGUUUUCACAACAACUUCUCCUCCGUUCCAGUAUGAAGAAGGCUUCAGUAAGGAGAAGUUUGUAGCGGACAGGAAGGACGCGAUGAGCGGAUCUCUGAUGGUGAAGCAGCUGCAGCCUGACGACAGCGGAGUGUAUUUCUGUUCUGUCAGUCAACACAGUGAUGAGGCCGAGUGA